rnacentral:sRNA from 1 species
UGGGGAAGGGUAGGGUUGGGACAAGAGUCGGGGGCCCUCUUCCCUCACGGCCGCUCUUUCAGGUAUCUGGAGCAACCUGUAUGCAGCCAACCUCCAGGAGAGCUUAUACUGGGCCUCAGAGCCCAGCCAGUUCUGGGACUGCUGGGUCAGGAACCAGGCCAACCUGGACAAGGAGCAGGUCCCCCUUCUGAAGAUAGAAGUACCACCCUCAACAGCCGGCAGGAUAGCUGAGUUUUUCACCGAUCUUCUGACGUGGCGUCCACUGGCCCAGGCCACACAUAAUUUCCUGCGUGGCCUCCAUUUCCACAAAGACUACUUUCAGCAUCCUCACUUCUCUACAUGGAAAGCUACCACUCUGGAUGGGCUCCCCAACCAGCUG